rnacentral:rRNA from 1 species
CCGGGUGGGGGCUGCCUCCGGGCGCCCAACCUCCCACCCGUGAAUACCUUACCACUGUUGCUUCGGCGAGGAGCCCCUUCCGGGGGGCGAGUCGCCGGGGACCACAUGAACUUCUUGAUUGUAGAGUUGCGUCUGAGCCUGAAAUAUAAAUCAGUCAAAACUUUCAACAAUGGAUCUCUUGGUUCCGGCAUCGAUGAAGAACGCAGCGAACUGCGAUAAGUAAUGUGAAUUGCAGAAUUCAGUGAAUCAUCGAGUCUUUGAACGCACAUUGCGCCCCCUGGCAUUCCGGGGGGCAUGCCUGUCCGAGCGUCAUUGCUGCCCUUCAAGCCCGGCUUGUGUGUUGGGUCGUCGUCCCCUCCGGGGGACGGGCCCGAAAGGCAGCGGCGGCACCGCGUCCGGUCCUCGAGCGUAUGGGGCUUUGUCACCCGCUCGAUAAGGACCGGCCGGGCGCCAGCCGGCGUCUCCAACCUUUUUUUCUCAGGUUGACCUCGGAUCAGGUAGGGAUACCCGCUGAACUUAAGCAUAUCAAUAAGCGGAGGAU